CUGGUUUCCCUCUACUUCUUGGACCUUUUGAAGAUGCAAACACAGAGUAAGGUUCGUCUAUUAAAAGUUUGUCAUCAGCAUAUGAGGUUUUGUUUUCCAAAUGCUGCUCGCUUCCUGUGUGGAGAGAUAAGCAGGCAAUCUUACUGUGUUUGCGCUCACAGCCCCCAUUGGGGAGAAAAAUCUCAUAACUGGGGAAAUUCCUCCACCUCCACAGAGCGUUUUCGGAACCCGACAGAUCCUGCCGGAAUCACGGACACUGGCCGGCAAGGAGUGAAGGGUUUGUGUAACGGUCCUAUGUGUGAACCAGGUUUCUGCAUGAAGACGCUCUCACCUCCAUUGCUUCUUUCUUCCUGAGAGACACAGAAAGAGCACACAUGACUCGCCUGCUAGUUAUAAAAAAUCAUUCUCUCCGUCCGGUGGCUCCGCCAUGCAGCUACGAUGAGAGUACUGGUGACCAUGAGAGAAGCUGGUUGCUUGGUAUGAGGUUUUCAUUUUGGCAUUAGCAGGCCUGAAGCACUGCUGGAGACCUACCCAAGCCAGAGCUUCAGUGGGCCCAGCAUGAACCUGAGUGCAGGGGCACAUGAGAAAAAAAGAGGAUUUAGAAGAAACAGAUUUCCAGAGGAAGAACUGGGACAGAACAAACCAUGGCGAGACUGGAUCUUGGUGUAGCACUGCCAGAAAGCCUCGGGCUUGCAGUUCCUCUUCCUCUGCUGCUUCUGUAAGGAAAAUGCUGGAAGAAAAUAACCCAACAAACGAGACAUUUGGAAGCAUGUGAAGCUUUUUCUCAGAUAAGAAUGUUGGAUAUUCCUGUAGUCCAGGUAGUUUUGACCAUCAUUCUUAUGACUCUGGUGUAACCUCUGAGGAUGGUGAAGACACACCACAGCAGACUGACCCGAAAAUAUCAUGUACCUGGUUUACGUAGCAUGAUCAGCUUCACAGAGCUGCGAUUCCUCUAAGAACAAAGUGCCUUUUGAGGAAUUAUCUAGAUCAGACCUGCAAGUAGGCAUGAUUUUGGGAGAGUUGACUUGAUUAUUAAUUGAUGCAGAGGAACCAACAGACUAUGGGCAAUACCAUACCUACACAGGUGCCUGGGAUGUGUGGGAGCACUGGGAGUAAGCUGGAGAAGAAGCCAGCAAACAGCAUUUCGCCAUGGUCCCUGCCUCUAGGUUCCUGCCUUGAGUUCCUACCCUGACUUCCCUC
rnacentral:sRNA from 1 species